rnacentral:rRNA from 1 species
UACAGAGGUCCCAAGCGUUGUUCGGAUUCACUGGGCGUAAAGGGUGCGUAGGUGGUGAGGUAAGUCGGAUGUGAAAGCUCGGAGCUCAACUCCGAAAUGGCAUUGGAAACUACCUUGCUCGAGGGUUGGAGGGGGGACUGGAAUGCUUGGUGUAGCAGUGAAACGCGUAGAUAUCAAGCGGAACACCAGUGGCGAAGGCGAGUCCCUGGACAACUCCUGACACUGAGGCACGAAAGCUAGGGGAGCAAACAGG